GAUGAACGCUAGCUACAGGCUUAACACAUGCAAGUCGCAGGACUGGCGCACGGGUGAGUAACGCGUAUCCAACCUUCCCAUAACUACGGGAUAACCCGUUGAAAGACGGCCUAAUACCUUAUGGUUAUGGCUGGGGAUGCGUCUGAUUAGCUUGUUGGCGGGGUAACGGCCCACCAAGGAGACGUUCAGUAGGGGUUCGGAGAGGAAGGUCACCCAAAUUGGAACUGAGACACGGUCCAAACUCCUACGGGAGGGAGCAGUGAGGAAUAUUGGUCAAUGGGCGAGAGCCUGAACAAGCCAAGUAGCGUGAAGGAUGACGGCGUAGGGGAUGUAAACUGCUUUUAUGUGGGGAUAGGUACCACAUGAAUAAGGACCGGCUAAUUCCGUGCCAGCAGCCGCGGUAAUAC
rnacentral:rRNA from 1 species